CCUUGAUAUUUAUAGCACAGUAGACCCACUCCAAUCCAUCCCGAACUUGGCUGUUAAAUGCUGUAGCGACAAUGAUACUUAAGAGGACACUCUUUGGAAAAGUAGUUCAAUAUCAGGG
rnacentral:rRNA from 1 species